AUGCUAAUAUAGCAUGAAUUUGAAAAGGGAUGUAAGUAGGAAAGAGUAUUAAGAGUGCCAAGUAGUCAUCUAUUACAGUACUUCCAUCAUUUGACUGAACAAAGUUGGCACCAAGUUUACAAGAUGAUGUCAAGAACACCAGAAUAACAAGACUACUACUGCAAUUAUGACUCGGCGUCAGGAAAGCCCAGUAAUAAAGCAAUGUGUUUCGAAUUUGAAUAAAGGGGAUCAGAAGGCUCAAAUAUCCUAAUAAAGUGGAUUCUCCUGUCAUUCUCUUGCCACUCCCACAGAAAGGAAAAGAAAAGAAACAUAAGAACUCUGAAAUCACAGCUGGGGCUUCAGGAUAUAUAUAAGAAGUGCUCAGGCUACUGGGGAACUUAUUUUUCAACUGGUAGAAGGAAGUGUGGAUGCAGUUGUUGCAGUUAUUCCUGAAAAUCAUAGCAGAACAAAGUGCAAACUGUGUUUAGUACAAAUUAAUGCAAUGUCGUGU